GGGUCUAAUACCGGAUAGGACCAUGGACUUCACGGUUUGUGGUGGAAAGCUUUUGCGGUGUGGGAUGGGCCCGCGGCCUAUCAGCUUGUUGGUGGGGUAAUGGCCUACCAAGGCGACGACGGGUAGCCGGCCUGAGAGGGUGUCCGGCCACACUGGGACUGAGAUACGGCCCCAGACUCCUACGGGAGGCAGCAGUGGGGAAUAUUGCACAAUGGGCGCAAGCCUGAUGCAGCGACGCCGCGUGAGGGAUGACGGCCUUCGGGUUGUAAACCUCUUUCAAUAGGGACGAAGCGCAAGUGACGGUACCUAUAGAAGAAGCACCGGCCAACUACGUG
rnacentral:rRNA from 1 species